UUAAUUUUUCCCGCUUAACUUAACCGAAACCAAAUUGAAACGUUUUCUUCCCCCUUUCCCUUCUUCUUCACUGCUACUCCGAUUUCCAGCUGCCAACAGUGUCGACCCUCUCUCUCUCUCUCUCUCUCUCUCUCUCUCUCGUUCGCGAAGCGCUCUCGUCGCGGUCACCGAUCGUUUCUUCUCUGUUACUUUGAGGUAUGUAUGUGUAUUCAGCAGAUUGGAUGGAUUUCUUUCAGUUGCGAGAAGCUUCAUAAACCUAGAUCUUUUGGUGGAUCAUAUUAAAAGCGUAAAGGCCCAGCACAAAAAGGCUAAAGCCCAGGUACCACAGAUGUCUAUCUCAAAGGCAAGUGAGUACAUCCUAAAAUUACUUUUUACACACCUAAUAAUUAGUAUGGUGCAAUUAGCCUAUUGCCACAUGUUUAGCCAUAAUUCCAUAUUCUACAUUAAACUUUAUUGCUUGUAGAAAGUACUGUACCUAGACAGAAGAUUUGUUGAUGUAUUGAAUGCCUUAUAUUAUUGGUGUCGUGCUGUUUCAUGCAUAUGCACCUCUUAAAUCUUAAUAGCCCUACUAAAUAUGUUUCCCCUGUACAGUGGCAAUGCCUAGCUUUUCCAAUUGUCAUGUAUCAUGGAACCAUACCUCUCAUAUUCCUGCUCAAAGAUUUGAGCAAUUUACAUAAUUGGUGGUUAACCCUUUGACAA